UGCCCCCUUGUGGUCGGUGUACAGGUGGUGCAUGGMUGUCGUCAGCUCGUGUCGUGAGAUGUUGGGUUAAGUCCCGCAACSAGCGCAACCCUUGUUCUGKGUUGCCAGCAUGCCUUUCGGGGUGAUGGGGACUCACAGGAGACUGCCGGGGUCAACUCGGAGGAAGGUGGGGACGACGUCAAGUCAUCAUGCCCCUUAUGUCUUGGGCUGCACACGUGCUACAAUGGCCGGUACAAUGAGCUGCGAUACCGCGAGGUGGAGCGAAUCUCAAAAAGCCGGUCUCAGUUCRGAUUGGGGUCUGCAACUCSACCCCAUGAAGUUGGAGUUGCUAGYAAUCGCAGAUCAGCAUUGCUGCGGUGAAUACSUUCCCGGGUCUUGUACACACCAA
rnacentral:rRNA from 1 species